rnacentral:rRNA from 1 species
CCUACGGGAGGCAGCAGUGAGGAAUAUUGGUCAAUGGGCGGGAGCCUGAACCAGCCAAGUCGCGUGAGGGAAGACGGUCCUAUGGAUUGUAAACCUCUUUAGGCGGGGAGCAAUGCCGGGCACGCGUGCCCGGAGGGAGAGUACCCGCAGAAUAAGCAUCGGCUAACUCCGGGCCAGCAGCCGCGGUAAUACGGAGGAUGCGAGUGUGAUCAGGAUGUAUUGGGUUUAAAGGGUGCGUAGGCGGAUUUUUAAGUCAGCGGUAAAAUGUCCGGGCUCAACCCGGGCCGGCCGUUGAAACUGGGGAUCUUGAGUGGGCGAGAAGUAUGCGGAAUGCGUGGUGUAGCGGUGAAAUGCAUAGAUAUCACGCAGAACUCCGAUUGCGAAGGCAGCAUACCGGCGCCCGACUGACGCUGAGGCACGAAAGCGUGGGGAUCGAACAGGAUUAGAUACCCUUGUAGUC